rnacentral:rRNA from 1 species
UUGGAGGGCAAGUCUGGUGCCAGCAGCCGCGGUAAUUCCAGCUCCAAUAGCGUAUAUUAAAGUUGUUGCAGUUAAAAAGCUCGUAGUUGAAUUUCGGGGUUAGUAGAUUGGUCAUGCCUCAGGUAUGUACUGAUCUCACUGAUUCCUCCUUCCUGAUGAACCGUAAUGCCAUUAAUUUGGUGUUGCGGGGAAUCUGGACUGUUACUUUGAAAAAAUUAGAGUGUUUAAAGCAGGCUAACGCUUGAAUACAUUAGCAUGGAAUAAUGAAAUAGGACGUUCGAUCCUAUUUUGUUGGUUUCUAGGAUUGACGUAAUGAUUAAUAGGGAUAGUUGGGGGCAUUAGUAUUCAAUUGUCAGAGGUGAAAUUCUUGGAUUUAUUGAAGACUAACUACUGCGAAAGCAUUUGCCAAGGAUGUUUUCAUUAAUCAAGAACGAAAGUUAGGGGAUCGAAGACGAUCAGAUACCGUCGUAGUCUUAACCAUAAACUAUGCCGACUAGGGAUCGGAUGAUGUUAAUUUUUUAAUGACUCAUUCGGCGCCUUACGGGAAAC